rnacentral:rRNA from 1 species
UACGAAGGGGGCUAGCGUUGCUCGGAAUCACUGGGCGUAAAGGGUGCGUAGGCGGGUCUUUAAGUCAGGGGUGAAAUCCUGGAGCUCAACUCCAGAACUGCCUUUGAUACUGAGGAUCUCGAGUCCGGGAGAGGUGAGUGGAACUCCGAGUGUAGAGGUGAAAUUCGUAGAUAUUCGGAAGAACACCAGUGGCGAAGGCGGCUCACUGGCCCGGUACUGACGCUGAGGUGCGAAAGCGUGGGGAGCAAACAGG